AAACCGAGCAGGCAGCUUCCUGUAGUUUUGUGCCGCUGAAGUGAUGGGGGGGGGGCGGUGUGGUGGCGACAAGAGUCUGGUGGCGGCGGUACGGAUCCCCAUUAAGCAACCCCAAGACAGACUUUGGAGGUUUUCAGAGUGGGGCACCUCGAUUUCUCGAAUCUGUGGUGUGGCGAGUACCCGUGUUCCGCUGGUUUAACUAGCCUGUUUGCACCAUUAUCGGCUAAGCUACAAACCAGGGGGCUGAAGCUUCGUGUAUCUCAGAAACCCGCAUGCAGAGACAAGAGCGUCAGAAAGGCAGUCUGGAGGGAGCUGGAGAGAGGGGACAAAUGGAAGGCAUUCUCGAGCAAGAACAACGAAACCAGCCUUCUUCACUUCCUGGGGUUUUCCCUCUUGCCAUCUACAGAAGAGUGUGACUUCAGAAAGAAACUUCAGAUUGGCCAAGGUUCUAUGCAUCUUGUGUUAUUCAAGUCAAGAUGAUGUCAGUAAUCACAUUACAGAAUCUAAUCAAGCAGGUCAGAUCCUAUCUAUUCCAAAGACAGAGUUGGAGACCAGCCAUCGUUAGUGUUGCCUGAGAUGCCGAGCAAUCCCCUGAGUCCUUACAGUCGGUACACAAUGUUCUGCCCUCAUGCAUCCCUGCAGGCCAGAAGUUGGCACCAGAUCUUAUGACAGGUGGUGGUGAAGUACUAUGUGGUUGCUGGGAAUUACUCAGGACCUCUGGAAGAACAACCGGUGCUCUUAACCACUGAGCCAUCUCUCCAGUACCAAGGUUUAUAUUCUUAAGAAAGUCUUAGAUCAUUUUUCAAACUCAUGUGAUUUUAUGUCUCUCUGAUAUUUAUUGAGGAUUGUAAUAAUCAAGACCCAGGGAAAGACAAGAUGCUACUGCUGUGACAGGACCUCUGCUUUGCAUAGAACAUAAAAUCGAUUAGCCGAUCGGGUUAUAUACAUUAGAAGACGAAACUAGACUGCAUUAGGCUCUUCUGUCAUAAUCUAUUUCUAAAUGUUUUUUGUUAUUCUUAUCUAUUUCUGACUUAUUAGAUUUCCUUCUUUUAUUCUAUUUUGGAUCUAUGUUCCCAUGGUGCACUGAUCUGGUCGGAGAGAGCGCUUGCUGCUGAGGUUGCUGGUCCCUGGAGCCUACAAAACCGAUUCCAGAAAGGUUGUCCUUAGACGGUCGCAUGUUCGCUGUGGCACCCGCUGCAGGCACCUAUCCAGCCGAGCACACAAUGUAUUAAAACUGUUUUUUUUUUUAAAAAAAUCCAGUAAGUGUUUUUCUUUUUCUUGUGAAAAAGUGUCUCACUCACUACGUAUCUCAGGCUGGCCAGGAGCUUGCCAUCCUUCCGCCUCAGCCUCCUGGUGUUGGUACUGCAGCAGUGGGCCAUGGUGAGUUAGAACAGGUGUUCUCAUUGCUGAUUAAAGCAGCAAAACGAGAGCAUUGUUCAGAUGUGAAGUAGAAGCGUAUAUUGAGUUCCAACUAAUUUGCAGUGUGCCUGCUUGUUCCUAUGUUCCGAGCGGAGUAGUGGGAAGCACGUUGAAGACUUUGUUGAUGGUGUGUGGAGGGGAUCAAGUACGCCAGCAGGGCAAAACGGUGGAUCUCCCCUCUCCAGGCUGUUGUGGUGCCAUGGAACCCUCUGCAGACACCUACCCGCGCAGGGAGCUGCUGGCUUAACAAGUAGGGGUUAAAGUGUGAGAAUUUCAGAACCUGCUUUGGGGAAGGAUUAAAUAAAUCAGAAGGCCUGCUGACAGCAGUAGUAUCUUUGAGCAGCUGAUUUGAAACAGAAUCAGAGAACUGAGAUGAAUCCCAGGUGGCCAUCGGGAGCUGGAAAAAGUGCCGGUGACUUGGGUGACUGUUAGGUCGGCUUCAUUUUAGCACUGUGGAUAAUCGUUAAGAGACAGCUUAUGAGAAAAGAUUCCAUUCAACACAAUGGCAGAAUAAAGAUGUAUUAAUUUAGAGGGUCUCUCUU